UACGAAGGGGGCUAGCGUUGUUCGGAAUUACUGGGCGUAAAGCGCACGUAGGCGGACAUUUAAGUCAGGGGUGAAAUCCCAGAGCUCAACUCUGGAACUGCCUUUGAUACUGGGUGUCUUGAGUAUGGAAGAGGUGAGUGGAAUUCCGAGUGUAGAGGUGAAAUUCGUAGAUAUUCGGAGGAACACCAGUGGCGGAAGGCGGCGUCCUGGUCUGCAACUGACGCUGUGGCGCGAAAGCUAGGGGAGCGAACGGG
rnacentral:rRNA from 1 species